rnacentral:lncRNA from 1 species
GGAAUAGAAGAGGGUUGGAGAAAAAUACUGGUCUACACUGGGGCAUGUGGCUACAGGGCAAGGAGCCAUGGAAACUGAAGGAAACUUGGACUGGACAUCAGAGACCAUAGGAGCUGACCUGUAGAGCCCCUUGACUUUACCGGUUAGGUUCAAAAGCUAACCACCAAAUACUAGGGCUAGUGCUUCUUUCAGUGUGCUACCCUCCUCUCUUCUUUCUUCAUCAGUCCUGAGGCAAGCAGGCCCACGCUGCUAAUCCCAAGUUGACCCAGGAGUACACUAAGGCUUGGACAGUUUAGUUGAUCUACCCAAGAACACAGGAACACUCCUGACUUCCAGCCCAGUGUGGUUUCCAUUAGACAUUCUUGCCAUGGCAUGAAAA